UGGUGCUUGCAUCAUGAUUUACAUUUGAGUGAGUGGCGAACUGGUGAGUAACACGUGGGAAACCUGCCCAGAAGCGGGGGAUAACACCUGGAAACAGAUGCUAAUACCGCAUAACAACUUGGACCGCAUGGUCCGAGCUUGAAAGAUGGCUUCGGCUAUCACUUUUGGAUGGUCCCGCGGCGUAUUAGCUAGAUGGUGGGGUAACGGCUCACCAUGGCAAUGAUACGUAGCCGACCUGAGAGGGUAAUCGGCCACAUUGGGACUGAGACACGGCCCAAACUCCUACGGGAGGCAGCAGUAGGGAAUCUUCCACAAUGGACGAAAGUCUGAUGGAGCAACGCCGCGUGAGUGAARAAGGGUUUCGGCUCGUAAAACUCUGUUGUUAAAGAAGAACAUAUCUGAGAGUAACUGUUCAGGUAUUGACGGUAUUUAACCAGAAAGCCACGGCUAACUACGUGCCAGCAGCCGCGGUAAUACGUAGGUGGCAAGCGUUGUCCGGAUUUAUUGGGCGUAAAGCGAGCGCAGGCGGUUUUUUAAGUCUGAUGUGAAAGCCUCCG
rnacentral:rRNA from 1 species